rnacentral:rRNA from 2 species
ACCUGACUGCUAUCGGAUUGAUACUAAGCCAUGCGAGUCAUUGUAGCAAUACAAGGCAGACGGCUCAGUAACGCGUAGUCAACCUAACCUAUGGACGGGAAUAACCUCGGGAAACUGAGAAUAAUACCCGAUAGAACACUAUACCUGGAAUGGUUUGUGUUCCAAAUGAUUUAUCGCCGUAGGAUGGGACUGCGGCCUAUCAGUUUGUUGGUGAGGUAAUGGCCCACCAAGACUAUUACAGGUACGGGCUCUGAGAGGAGUAGCCCGGAGAUGGGUACUGAGACACGGACCCAGGCCCUAUGGGGCGCAGCAGGCGAGAAAACUUUGCAAUGUGCGAAAGCACGACAAGGUUAAUCCGAGUGGUUUGUGCUAAACAGACCUUUUGUUAGUCCUAGAAACACUAACGAAUAAGGGGUGGGCAAGUUCUGGUGUCAGCCGCCGCGGUAAAACCAGCACCUCAAGUGGUCAGGAUGAUUAUUGGGCCUAAAGCAUCCGUAGCCGGCUCUGUAAGUUUUCGGUUAAAUCUGUAUGCUCAACAUACAGGCUGCCGGGAAUACUGCAGAGCUAGGGAGUGGGAGAGGUAGACGGUACUCGGUAGGAAGGGGUAAAAUCCUUUGAUCUAUUGAUGACCACCUGUGGCGAAGGCGGUCUACCAGAACACGUCCGACGGUGAGGGAUGAAAGCUGGGGGAGCAAACCGGAUUAGAUACCCGGGUAGUCCCAGCUGUAAACUAUGCAAACUCAGUGAUGCAUUGGCUUGUGGCCAAUGCAGUGCUGCAGGGAAGCCGUUAAGUUUGCCGCCUGGGAAGUACGUACGCAAGUAUGAAACUUAAAGGAAUUGGCGGGGGAGCACCACAAGGGGUGAAGCCUGCGGUUC